AGCAGCCGCGGUAAUUCCAGCUCCAAUAGCGUAUAUUAAAGUUGUUGCAGUUAAAAAGCUCGUAGUUGAAUUUCGGGAUCAAUAUGUUGGUCGUGCCUUUGGUACGUACUGGUAUUAUUGGUUUCUCCUUUCUGAUGAAUCACGAUGUCAUUAAUUUGGUGUCAUGGGGAAUCAGGACUGUUACUUUGAAAAAUUAGAGUGUUUAAAGCAGGCUUACGCUUGAAUACAUUAGCAUGGAAUAAUGAAAUAGGACGUUUAAUUCUAUUUUGUUGGUUUCUAGGAUUGACGUAAUGAUUAAUAGGGAUAGUUGGGGGCAUUAGUAUUCAAUUGUCAGAGGUGAAAUUCUUGGAUUUAUUGAAGACUAACUACUGCGAAAGCAUUUGCCAAGGAUGUUUUCAUUAAUCAAGAACGAAAGUUAGGGGAUCGAAGACGAUCAGAUACCGUCGUAGU
rnacentral:rRNA from 1 species